rnacentral:rRNA from 1 species
CCAGACUCCUACGGGAGGCAGCAGUGAGGAAUAUUGGUCAAUGGGCGAUAGCCUGAACCAGCCAAGUCGCGUGAGGGAAGACGGCCCUAUGGGUUGUAAACCUCUUUUGUCGGGGAGCAAGGUCGCUACGUGUAGUGAUUUGAGAGUACCCGAAGAAAAAGCAUCGGCUAACUCCGUGCCAGCAGCCGCGGUAAUACGGAGGAUGCGAGCGUUAUCCGGAUUCAUUGGGUUUAAAGGGUGCGUAGGUUGUUUUAUAAGUUAGCGGUGAAAUACCGAUGCUCAACAUCGGGGCUGCCGCUAAUACUGUAGGACUAGAGAUCGGAUGCAGCAGGCGGAAUGUGUAGUGUAGCGGUGAAAUGCAUAGAUAUUACACAGAACACCGAUUGCGAAGGCAGCUUGCUAGGCCGGACCUGACACUGAUGCACGAAAGCGUGGGGAUCGAACAGGAUUAGAUACCCCAGUAC